rnacentral:rRNA from 1 species
UGGGGAAUCUUGCACAAUGGGGGAAACCCUGAUGCAGCGACGCCGCGUGAGCGAUGAAGGUUUUCGAAUCGUAAAGCUCUGUCCUAUGGGAAGAUAAUGACGGUACCAUAGGAGGAAGCCCCGGCUAACUACGUGCCAGCAGCCGCGGGAAUACGCAGGGGGCGAGCGUUGUCCGGAAUUACUGGGCGUAAAGGGUUCGCAGGCGGCAUGACAAGUCCGAUGUAAAAGGCGAAAGCUCAACUUUCGUAAGCAUCGGAAACUGUCAAGCGUGAUUGAAGGAGAGGCAAGUGGAAUUCCUAGUGUAGCGGUUGAAUGCAUAGAUAUUAGGAGGAAUACCGGUGGCGAAGGCGACUUGCUGGACUUCAACUGACGCUGAGGAACGAAAGCGUGGGUAGCAAACAGG